rfam:Danio rerio chromosome 4, GRCz11 reference primary assembly.
GCAUUGGUGGUUCAGUGGUAGAAUUCUCGCCUCCCACGUGGGAGAUCCGGGUCCGAUUCCCGGCCAAUGCA